rnacentral:rRNA from 1 species
AACGAACGCUGGCGGCAUGCCUAACACAUGCAAGUCGAACGAGACCUUCGGGUCUAGUGGCGCACGGGUGCGUAACGCGUGGGAACCUGCCCUUAGGUUCGGAAUAACUCCCCGAAAGGGGUGCUAAUGCCGGAUAAUGUCUUCGGACCAAAGAUUUAUCGCCUUUGGAUGGGCCCGCGUUGGAUUAGCUAGUUGGUAGGGUAAAAGCCUACCAAGGCGACGAUCCAUAGCUGGUCUGAGAGGAUGAUCAGCCACACUGGGACUGAGACACGGCCCAGACUCCUACGGGAGGCAGCAGUGGGGAAUAUUGGACAAUGGGCGAAAGCCUGAUCCAGCAAUGCCGCGUGAGUGAUGAAGGCCUUAGGGUUGUAAAGCUCUUUUACCCGGGAUGAUAAUGACAGUACCGGGAGAAUAAGCGCCGGCUAACUCCGUG